CCUACGGGAGGCUGCAGUCGAGAAUCAUUCACAAUGGGGGAAACCCUGAUGGUGCGACGCCGCGUGGGGGAAUGAAGGUCUUCGGAUUGUAAACCCCUGUCAUGUGGGAGCAAAUUAAAAAGAUAGUACCACAAGAGGAAGAGACGGCUAACUCUGUGCCAGCAGCCGCGGUAAUACAGAGGUCUCAAGCGUUGUUCGGAAUCACUGGGCGUAAAGCGUGCGUAGGCUGUUUCGUAAGUCGUGUGUGAAAGGCGCGGACUCAACCCGCGGACGGCACAUGAUACUGCGAGACUAGAGUAAUGGAGGGGGAACCGGAAUUCUCGGUGUAGCAGUGAAAUGCGUAGAUAUCGAGAGGAACACUCGUGGCGAAGGCGGGUUCCUGGACAUUAACUGACGCUGAGGCACGAAGGCCAGGGGAGCGAAAGGGAUUAGAUACCCCAGUAGUC
rnacentral:rRNA from 1 species